rnacentral:ncRNA from 2 species
AUGAGAAUAGGUGAUGGGGUUCGCCUUUAAACGCAUUUAUGCUGAUGACUCCUGCAAUGAA